rnacentral:rRNA from 1 species
ACGUAGGGUGCGAGCGUUGUCCGGAAUUAUUGGGCGUAAAGAGCUUGUAGGCGGUUUGUCGCGUCUGCCGUGAAAUUUCGAGGCUCAACCUCGAACUUGCGGUGGGUACGGGCAGACUAGAGUGUGGUAGGGGAGACUGGAAUUCCUGGUGUAGCGGUGAAAUGCGCAGAUAUCAGGAGGAACACCGGUGGCGAAGGCGGGUCUCUGGGCUGACACUGACGCUCAUGCACGAAAGCGUGGGGAGCAAACAGGA